UGCACCGUGGUCUAGCGGUUAGAACGCUUGUAAUAUUGGGGUCCCGGGUUCGAUUCCCGGCUGUGCUC
rnacentral:tRNA from 1 species